CCCAGCGUUGAUUUCCUCUGCCUUUUGCUCUCUCCCAUUCACAGUCACUGCUCCUAUUUUUCAUUACCCAAAUCACUUUUCACUCGCAUUCAUCUCUCACAAUCAAAUUGUUUUCUUCUUCACUAAUUUAUGUAUGUUCCUUUUUUCUUCAGUUCUAUACAUAUUGUGCUUCAAAUUUUAUCUCUAUAUUUCCUAUGGCUUCCAUGAAAACUCAAAGGAGGGUCUAUGUCAUCACCAUCACCUUCUUCUUCUUCUUCUUCUUCAACACCUCAGUCUCAGUGGAAAUAAAAGGUGUUUCUCAGUUUUAGAAAAAUCGUUUGUUAAACCCAAAAAAUGUGGAGAGCUGCUUUGAGAGAAGUGGCCAAUCUCUCUGAUGAUAACAAUUAACAAGUCAGCAGAAGAUGACACUCGUGUUUUGUUUAUACUUUGUCUAGCUGCUAAAUGGGAAGGAUUUUCAUAGGAGGAUUUCAGUUGAGGCUAUGGCUACUGGAUGUGCAUAAGCAUUUCUGUCAGUCUGACUGAUAUGUUGUAUUGAAUUUAUAUAUGGUUUUGGCUAUAAUGAUUUGGAAAUGUAUUCAAGUGACAUAUCCUUGUAUCUUGUUUCAUAAAGACAGUAGAGCCAGGAUCUUUUCUUUCAUCUUCUUCUUUUUAUUUUUUAUUUUUAUAUGGUUUCAGUUAUGACGAUUUUCAUAGGAUGAACCGAUGAUGUUCAUAAUUGUUAUUGGAUAGCCUACAAGGCACAAGCUAUACUUUCAGAGGAAUCAGCUGGAAACAUACAGGGAGAAUAUGUCAAUCUUGGAGCAUAUUAUCUGGUUGAGAGUCCAGUAGGUGCCGCUUUGGUCUUUCUUGUAUGCCCAAAGUCCUUUGGAUUGGAUUUAGAGAGAGGGCCUAUUGUAAAAGCAUUUCUAGUUGCUCGUGGAACAAGUUUCACAAAUUGGCGAAAGACGAUUAUUAGUACCAAAAAAA